rnacentral:rRNA from 1 species
GAUCAUGCUCAGGAUGAACGCUGGCGGCGUGCUUAACACAUGCAAGUCGAGCGAAGCACUUAGGAAAGAUUCUUCGGAUGAUUUCCUAUUUGACUGAGCGGCGGACGGGUGAGUAACGCGUGGGUAACCUGCCUCAUACAGGGGGAUAACAGUUAGAAAUGACUGCUAAUACCGCAUAAGACCACAGCACCGCAUGGUGCAGGGGUAAAAACUCCGGUGGUAUGAGAUGGACCCGCG